GUUAUCUAUGAGACAGAUGAGACACGUGUGUUUAUCUGCUGCAGAGAGACUGAUGAAGAAAUGAUGCCAUCAAAGACUCUCGAUCUUUUGUGGUGGAGCAGGUGACAGCAGCAUCUGUGGAAAAAACCUGAAACCAAAAUAUAAAAUAUAAUUUCAGGAUCUGAAAUGUCUGCAGACUGCUGUGUGCACCGAGGAUGGAGAAGAUUGAGUGCCAUGGGUGAAAUGCUCCAUCACUGCAUCUCCUCUUGUUUUCUCAUCAGGACCAGAUGUUGCUGUGGUCUCUACAUCUUCAGUGACCCCAGAGCCAGUGAGAACAUCUAGAGAAAAACCAAAAGACACUCAGGAUGUGAUUUUGGUCAAGUUUGUUCUGCUGGUUUCUGUUCAUACAACAUCAGUCAAUAAACCUAAGUUUCAGAAGCUUCUAAAGCAUCAUCAAAUAAUGUCAUGAAGAAUCUGAAAGUCCAUUGACUGAUACUGUAUGAACACAAACCAGCAGGAGAAACCUGACCAAAAUCACCUUUUGUGUUUGGACAAAGGAUUGAACAGAAUGAAGGCACGUCAUUAAUGACUGAAUUUAUUUUUAGAUGAACUGACCCUUUAAAACCCCAAAUAGAAACUGUAUUAAAUAUAUGCACGCAUUAAUAUUAUAGUAGAACAUUGAAGAAAAAAAAGCUUUAAGAAAUAAGCAGCUUUAUUGAGCGUUUUUCUGCCCAAGACACAAAAAAAAAAUUCACAAAGUUCACAUUUACAUGUAUUUGUUUUUCAGACACUUUUAUCUGAAGUGAGUUACAGUGCUCUUAUUACAGGAUCUCAAUCCCUCUGGAGUCACCUGGAGUAAAGACACACGACUUAGGAGAUUGAUCCAGAAACCUUCUGCUGACCAGUCCAGUUCACUACACUACAGAAAUAAUGAAGCUAUAGCAAAUUAACAUGCAAUUGUAAAAAUAUACAAUUAAAUUCAGCAUUAAAUAGAAUGCUGACAACAUGACAAAGCGUUUUACUCUGUGUAAAUGUUUUCCAGGUAUUGGUGCUCAUGGUGAGCAGACACAGAUGUUUGGAGCAGACACAACAGCAGUCAGAUCGUCCCGCACAUGUUCUCCUGCUCUUGUUCAGGGUUGUGUGGUUCGGUCUUCAUCAUGGUCUUCCUCAUCCUGUCUGUGCACUCAGACAAGGACUCGAUGUCCCUCUCUCAUCAUGAUCAGAUUCAGUCUGACCGCAGCAGUGAGGGACGUGAUGGACGAAUGUGGGUUCACUGUCUGUAAAGAUUCAAAAACAGAACAAUGUCUGAAUAAAGUUUUGUUUCAUGUGUUGUUGACUUGUAUUUUAUUUAUUGUGACGGUUACUUUUAUUUAUUAUUUUACUUGUUUAUUCAUGUCUCCUGUUGUUGUCAUUAAAUAAAAUAUAGCCUAAUUGUUUCAUUAA